UGGUGACCGUUUAUGAUGUAGGAGCAUCUGCAAGGCUUAGAAUUCGAGGUCAGGAUUAGAGAGCUCGCAGUUUUUUGGGUGAACUAAUCUCCCUAAAAGGAGCGAUAAUUGGGCAAGGCUACCAGAUAUGCAGUCCAGACCCAUCUUUCCCCCACAUCUCAAACACUCUCCUGGAAUAUCGCUAUUGAUAUGGUGGAGCACAUCUGGUGUUCUGUACCACUUUGUCAGAUUUUAUAGCAUGUCUCCUGUACUUUUGAGCUGAUGGAAUGUUUGUGUGUUAGAGUAUAAAUCUUGUCCCACUCCUGGUCUAUAAGUGUCACUCCUGUCUCUUCCUCCAACCAUAUGAGAAAUUUAGGGGGGGCUCUAUCACCACAAGUGAGCUGCAUUUGGUAAAGAGGUGAUACACCUCGAGAGAGGUGUUUCUUAACCGAACAUAGGGUUUCGAACUGUGUAAGGUCUCUAUGUAUGAGACGUUUGCUCUUUAAAGUAGCAUAAUACGUUUUCUGCCAGAAGUAGCCAGUCUGAGAUUUGGAAGCCGUGUUAGUCAGUCAGCGUAAGGCCACCUGCGAGGUCUGCAUUAUGCAUGAUGGGUGUCAAUGGGUUGGGGUUUGUAGUUAGCUGAGAGGAGAACCAUAUGGAACAUCAUACCCGUAUGGUGCCAUCGGUUAAGUUGUUGCCAGCCUUCAUCUUGUAAUACUGCAGGCCCCAAACCAAAGCUGAAAUGGGAGUUGGCCAUCCGUCAGCCCAAACUCUAGGUCAACCAAAGUUUCUGAGAUGAGCGGACAUAUAAAAAAGUGCCAAUUUCUAUUAAAAUCAGCACUUAUUUGUAAAUUGAAAAAAAGGAGGACACACUCUUCAUACAUAAAGCAAGCUAAAGUUCUUUAGGCGCCCCGAAUGUCCUUUUAAAGUUGGCAUUUAUUGUAUAAAUAAAGAUAAAGUUAUAUUUUGUAAACUAUGAUAAAGUCAGGCAUGUAAUUAAAACUAAAGGCUGACAUGUAAAGGCUGGUAUGUGAUGUUUGUUAG